UAGGGAAUCUUCGGCAAUUGACGAAAGUCUGACCGAGCAACGCCGCGUGAGUGAAGAAGGUUUUCGGAUCGUAAAACUCUGUUGUUAGAGAAGAACAAGGACGUUAGUAACUGAACGUCCCCUGACGGUAUCUAACCAGAAAGCCACGGCUAACUACGUGCCAGCAGCCGCGGUAAUACGUAGGUGGCAAGCGUUGUCCGGAUUUAUUUGGCGUAAAGCGAGCGCAGUCGGUUUCUUAAGUCUGAUGUGAAAGCCCCCGGCUCAACCGGGGAGGGUCAUUGGAAACUGGGAGAGUUGAGUGCAGAAGAGGAGAGUGGAAUUCAAUGUGUAGCGGUGAAAUGCGUAGAUAUAUGGAGGAACACGAGUGGCGAAGGCGGCUCUCUGGUCUGUAACUGACGCUGAGGCUCGAAAGCGUGGGGAGCAAACAGG
rnacentral:rRNA from 1 species